GAAAAAUCGGGUCCAUCCAGUCCCACAGUGACCCAGAAUCCAACCGCAGCCAAAGACUCGAGUCCAACAGAGCAGGAAGCUCUCUGUGCACCUGUUAACAGGAUGAAUAAUAAGACGAGAGCUUCUUGGAUGCAGAAGUCUUCAGGACGGCCUGCUGCUCUGAUCCAGACUUCAGAAUUAAAAAGCCGUCAUGAUGCCAACUUGAGACUGAGCUCAACAUCUUUAAAGUCAUUGCCAGAAAGAGCAGAGGGACUGCUGACUGAGGACUCUGGAGAAGAAGAAGAAACAAAUCAUGAAUAUUGUUGAAUGUACGACUUUGUGAUCAACUUAUUUGUUUUAUCAGUCUUGUUCUGUAUAUUUAAGUAAUUUCACAGUCAGAUGUUCCUGCAGCUUGUUGCAUUUCUUUUUCCUGUUCCAAAACUAAUGUAAGAAACUUAUAAAUAUGCUUUAUUGUUCUAU